UGGGGAAUUUUGGACAAUGGGCGAAAGCCUGAUCCAGCAAUGCCGCGUGCAGGAAGAAGGCCUUCGGGUUGUAAACUGCUUUUGUACGGAACGAAAAGGCUCUUUCUAAUAAAGAGGGCCCAUGACGGUACCGUAAGAAUAAGCACCGGCUAACUACGUGCCAGCAGCCGCGGUAAUACGUAGGGUGCGAGCGUUAAUCGGAAUUACUGGGCGUAAAGCGUGCGCAGGCGGUUCUAUAAGACAGAUGUGAAAUCCCCGGGCUCAACCUGGGAAUGGCAUUUGUGACUGUAGAGCUAGAGUACGGUAGAGGGGGAUGGAAUUCCGCGUGUAGCAGUGAAAUGCGUAGAUAUGCGGAGGAACACCGAUGGCGAAGGCAAUCCCCUGGACCUGUACUGACGCUCAUGCACGAAAGCGUGGGAGCAAACAGGAUUAGAUACCCAAGUAGUCCCUGAGCGGGCUGGCAAGGCGCAU
rnacentral:rRNA from 1 species